GACAGAGGGUGCAAACGUUGCUCGGAAUUACUGGGCGUAAAGCGCGUGUAGGCUGACCGGAAAGUCGGGCGUGAAAGCCCUGGGCUCAACCCAGGAACUGCACUCGAAACUCCCGGUCUAGAUUGGUGGAGAGGGAAGUGGAAUUCCUGGUGUAGAGGUGAAAUUCGUAGAUAUCAGGAGGAACACCAGUGGCGAAGGCGGCUUCCUGGACACCAACUGACGCUGAGACGCGAAAGCGUGGGGAGCAAACAGG
rnacentral:rRNA from 1 species